CCGGAAGCCGCCGCGGAGCUCGCUGCUGCCGCUGCUACGGCCGCUCCACGCCGGAGGUCGACCCAUGGAGCCCCGCAGAAAACAACCCGAGUACUAUUGGAGGAGCUCGGGGAGCAGAGUCCGGCCGCUCUGCUGCGCUCACUGGUACCGCAACACCACCUACUUGGGUCUGAGCACCGUGGAGCAGCCCCUCCGACACCGUCCAUUCCGUCACCGAGGAGGCCUCCGUCUCUCAGGACCGCCGGACCGGUGCACAUCGGGUUUUAUAUCUCAGCUGGUGAUGAAUUGUGCAAAAAAAAACUCUGAUAGAUUGAUAAAUGAUUUGCUGUCGGUGGAUUAAAUGUGAAUAUAAUCUAAUAAUGGGCAUUCUCUCCCUCUUUUUAUCUGCAGCCUUUCAAUAAGAAUCUGAUGUGAAUCAUGAAAUGAUUAAAUAAACAAAACCCCAUAAAUAUAUAUAUAUAUAUAUUACACAUUACAACAUUUUUUUAUAUUUAUAUAUAUUUAUAUAUGGAAAUAUAUAACUAUUUUUUAAAUGCAAAAUUAAUUAAAUAUUCAUAUAUAUACAAAUAAUAUAUAUAUAUAUAUGUAAAGCUAUUUAUUUAUAUAUAUAUAUAAAUAUAUUUGAGCAGGAAAUAAAUGAACACUUUUUUUUUACACACUCAAAGUACAGUUUGUCAUAUUUUCUUUACAUUUGAGGAUAUGUUUCAGCUUGAUUAAAGAUAUCCAGCACCUUUGGGGAUGUUUUCGAUGAACUGUCAUUGAUUCAUUGCCGCCUUUAUCCCGCGAGUUUAGUAUUGAUUAAAAAUAAAAAUAAAAAUAUUUUAGUUUCAUUUGUGGUUUUUUUUGGUGUGCAGUUGUAGCGCCCCCCAGUGGCGCUCUCGUGGGAAAACGCAGCUUUAGCUUCUACUCCAUUGAAAGAAAUGUAAUCUUAUGAAAUAUAAAGGAAAAGUGGACUCUGUUGUAAAAGCUUAAAUAAAAUGGAUUAAACAUU